rnacentral:lncRNA from 1 species
UCCGACCAAUCGUUAUGACCUGAAAAAAUCAUAUUAUAAAACUUAAUCACAGUUGCACAUAUUAAAAUAAGAAUUAUAAACGAUAUUUAAUUGAAAAUGCAUGGCCUAUAUUUAUACCCGCGCAAGGAGUUCCCAUAAUCUUCAAAUCAGGAAGGCAAAAGAUUUAUGCUGGCUUGGACUGAACCGUAUUCAAAACUCAAAAGAAAAGAAGUUGUGCUUGAGCGAGUUCUUAUUUCAGAUUGAUAUGAUAUAUAUAGAUCAAGUAGCCGACACUACGGUGCCAACGUGGCAAAGAAACAAGUUUUGCAUGGUAAAGAUAAUGGAUCAACGAUUCUAAUUUAAUGGUACAAUAAGUAGGUAAGGUCAACUCUAUAUGGUUAAAUUAGUGCAUGUGCGAUCAGAGGCGGAUUCACCAUAGACCACUGGGGGCUCAAGCCCCCACUAGAAAAAAAAUCUCUAUUUCAUAAAAAAAAAGUUAACAUAUUUCUAAAUAGUUUUGUCAAAUUAUUAGAUAGUCCCAUCCUUUAAAAUUUAAAUUAUUAUUUUAUUAAUUACAAAAUUUAUACUUUGACUUAAAAAUCAAAGCCUACACCCCAAAAUAUUUAUAAUUCUUAAUUAUUGAAUUGUAGGUGCUACAUUUUAACUAGAGAUUGCGGUAAAUAAAAAAAAUUAUAUUCAAGUUUUCAGUUUUUAUGUCUAAUUAUUAUUUAAUUUAACCCCCAGUAAAUUAUUUGUCUACAUCCGCCACUGUGUGUGAUACAUGGUUCAAAAAAUUAAUAAUUCUAAAUACGAAGGACGAGCAAAUUAAGUAAUAAAUGCCAUUACCAAAUAAUAGUGCGUGCUAUACUAUAGAUAACGGAUCAACGAUUCAGAUUUCAUCCUACAAUAGUAGGUAAGAUUAGUGGCUAGUGUUAAAAAUCAUUGCAUGUGCGAAACAUGGUCUACAAAAUAAAUAGUAGUAAACAAGAAAGACAAACAAUGUAAUCAAAUACCAUGUCAUCAGAUAAAAAGAAAAAAAAAAGAAAGGUAUAAAUACCAUUACCAAACAAUUGCUUGGUAAAGAUAACAGAUUUACCGCUGAAGUCUGAUAAUUGUAAGAUUAACCGCUGUAUAUGGCUCAACUGCGUGUGUAAAUAAAGUAUGAAUCAAUGGGUCCACGAAAUAAAUAAGAAGACCACAAGCAUAGUGGUCCAAAAAAUAAAUAAGAACCGAACUGACGAUACAUAUAGAUCAAGUAGCCGACACUACAGUGCCAACGUAUCAAAUAAACGAGUCAUGCAUGGUAAAGAUAAUGGAUCAACGGUCCAAGUUUAAUCGUACAAUAAGUCAAAAUAAAUAGUAGUAAAUAAGAAAGACGAACAAAGUUUUCAAAUACCAUCUCAUCAAAAAAUAAAUAAAAUAAAUAAGUAAAUAAAAUAAAGUAUAAAUGCCAUUACCAAACAAGUGAUUGGUAAAGAUAACAAAGUUUCAUAAUUGUAAGAUUAACGGCUAUAUUUGGUUCAACUGCAUAUGUAAAUAAAUGCAUGUGGGAGUAUGAAUCAAUGGGUCCACGAACUAAACAAGAAGACCACAAGCAUAGUGAGUCCCAUGAAUUUCUUUAUAAAAAUAAAACAGUGAGUCCCGUUAUGCAUAUUAUUAAUUUUUCUUUUCUCUCUUCAUUUUAAAUAUCUUUCCCGUUUAGUUAUCACAAUUAAACUCGUCUUUAGCAUUUAAUAGAAGUACUUCUAUGAGCAUGGAUUUAGAGAGAGAGUGCGGCGGUGCGAAAAUUAAGUUUGUAUAGGAAUUUGUUAUAUUUAAUAUUAUUGUUUUAGGAUUAGUAUUGUGUAAUUUGUGGGAGUAGGAAUUUUUUGAUGGAUGAGAUUUGAUUUGCUUUGGAAUGAUGAUUUUGAAAGAGAGUAAAAAUGUAAACGACUGAAAGGAUGGGUGAAAUUUAAUUUUAUUUUUUUAUUGCUAUUGAAAGAGAGCAUCUAAAAGCGGUCCAAAAACUAAAUAAUUGUAGAUAAGAAGACGAACUGACAAUCAAAGCAAUAAUACCAACCAGGCAAUAAUGCAUGGUGAGGAUAAGAUAACAUGUCUACGACUGAAGUUUGAUUGUGAAAUUAUGGGCUAUAUAUAUUUCAAUUGAUGGGUCCACGAAAUACAUAAUUGUACAUAAUAAGUCAAGCAAAGUAAAUAUUCUUUCCAUAUCAUCUGGUAAAAUUUUAUAUUACUAAAAUACUAUUUAGGACAUUAAUAUAUUUUCAGAAAAUUUUAGCACCCUUAAAACUCACUAUCGUAGAAGAAUUAAAUCUCAAUUUUUUUCCCGUCAUCAUCUAACUUAGGGUCUGUUUGGAAUUACUUUUGGAAGGCCCAAAAGUGAUUUUAAAAAAACUAAAGCUAUUUUUUAUGUUUGAUUUUUUUUUUUUUUUUGAGAAAUCACUUUUGGUAAAAUCACCGCCUCUUACUGCUAAUUUUGAAAAGUAGGGAAUGAGUAGUUUUUCAAAAUAUGAUUUUGAGAAUUAGUUUUAUAGUUAAUACAAUUCCAUAUGUAUCCUUACACAUAUUAUAAAAAUCUAAAUUAUCCUUAUUAAUUAUGAAAUAAAAUCAUUAACUCUAAAUAGAUUAUUAUUAUUACCAAUUAUAUUGAGAAAACAAAAUCUAAAAAGUAAAAUUAAUAAUAUAAAGUAUUUAUUUUUGUAAUUAUUAUAUAUACACAAUAAAAAAAAAAUUUGUAUACGUAUUUAUAAAUGUCUAAAUAAAUUUAUUAAACAUUAUGUCUAAUUUAGUCAUUCACAUUCUAAUAGCAAGUCAACAAUAAGAUUUACCAAACACAAUGACUGUUUUUAAAACUCAUAGUAAUUUGAAAAUAAAUUUUACUAAACAUUUAAUCGAUUCUCUUCACAACUAAUUAUUUAUACCGUACAGUUAGCAACAAUUAUUUUAAAAGCUAUAACAUUAAUGAAUUGGGCCUUAAUCCAUUGUAAAAACUGUUAGGAUUUCGUUGGCUUCAUUUGACUAAUUGAGAGAGAUUGUUUCCUUAUAUGUGGCUGAUUUGUAAUCCCUUUGAAUAUGGGAUCAUUAUUUGCUUUCGUUUGAUUUAGCUCAUAAUGUGUGAAUAUUUGCUCUUGUAAACUUGCAUAUAAAUUCUCUCUAAUCCUACUAUAAGUGCCUGUUUGGUAUGGCUUAUUUAAGAGCCAUAAGUGCUUAUUUAAUCGCAUAAGCACUUUUUAAAAUUUUUUAUGGUGUUUGGUUAUUUUUUUAGUAGAGUUUUUUUAGCUUAAAUAAGCUAAUUUGCCUCUACUAGCAAAAGCCCAAAAUUUAAGCUUUUGGGAGUAGAGGUUAGAGAGCUUUUCCAAAAAAUAUAUAAUAUAAAAAAUAUCACACAGUUUAAUGGUUCAAAAGUAUUUUUUUUAUUGACAACCAAACACCCAAUGAUUUUUUGUCCAAAAGCUCUAUUGGUAUAAGCUCUACUGUUAUAAGCUCUAUUUAAUAAGCUGUACCAAACGGAGCCUAAGAAACAUAGAAGAAUAAAAUCAGAGUGCUUGUCAAACUUCAUUUUUUCAUGGUAUCAGAGUCAUGGUUUUGAUUUGGUAAAACACUUUUGCUUCCUUUUUUUUAUGGAUGAUAUUGAUAGACAUAGUGAUAGCAGUCACAAUCAUUCACCAAAGCAUAUAUCUUCUCAAACCUCUCAUCACACUAUGUCUAUGUCUACGGUUGAUUCCUUGGACCCUCUUUUUCUUCAUGCUUCUAAUCAUCCUAGCAUGAUUCUUGUUCCAAAAGUCUUAGAUGGAACAAAUUAUGCUAUGUGGAAGAGAUCUAUGCUAGUGAGUCUCAGUGCCAAAAACAAAUUGGGAUUCAUCAAAGGAACCAUUCAGACGCCAGAUGAAGAUGAUCUAAAACAUUCUUUAUGGUAGCGCUACAACGAUAUGGUGCUUUCUUGGAUCCUUAAUUCUCUAAGUCAAGAGCUUGCAAAUAGUGUACUCUAUUUAGAGACACCCUUAGAGAUUUGGAUAGACCUUCAAGAACGUUUCUCUCAAGGUGAUUUUUCCCACCAUUAUCAAACUCAACAAUCUAUUGUUGAAUUAAAAAAAAAUCAAGAUUCAAUUUUUUCUUAUUACACAAAGAUGAAAAUGUUGAGGGAUGAGCUAACUACUUGUAGUCCUUCAAUCACGUGCGCUUGCGGAGGACAAAAAGAAUUGAAAGAAAAAGAAGAAAAGAUUAGGUUGGGACAAUUCCUCAUGGGAUUGAAUAAAACAUACUCAGCUUUGCGAGGACAAAUCAUAUUAAUGUGUCCUCUACCAACUGUCAAAAAGGCAUAUUCUCUUCUCCGUGAGGAAGAAAAGCAGCAAGGACUUACUGAAGCCAAAGGCAUUGAUCUUAUUCAUGCCAUGAGUAUCAAAACUUGUGACAAUUCUCGAGGAUCACAAUUUGAAGCUCAACAGCAAACCAGACAGGGACCAUCCUCUAAUCCCAAGCCACAAGGAACUAAGAAAUCUUUCUUUUGUACUUACUAUGAGGGCACAACUCAUACAGUAGAUCAUUUUUACUACUUGAAUGGAUUCAUAGUUGGUCAUAAGCUUCAUGACAAAGACGUUCAGCCUCCAAAUCGAAGCAGAAAACCUAUAGCGCAUCAAACUAGUGCUGAAAUAAAUCAGAACUUAGCAAAGACAUCUACUGAACAAACUCCCCAAUUUACCUCUAAAGAGCUUGCCCAAAUAAAACUUUUCUUUAGAAAUGGUAACAAUCCUGCUCGAGCAAACUACACAGGUAUCCAUAUGCCUUUCUGUUCAUCUUUCAAUACGCAAAAGACAUACUUGAGUCAGUGGAUUAUUGAUAACGGUGCACAAAAUCACAUAGCAACUUUAAUAACUAUUAAAACUUCUGUCUUCUCAAGUAACCUUGCCCAAUGGGGCCUAUUCUAAGAUAAUUGGAAUUGGCUUAACACAAUUCUCAAACCACCUACAUGUUAAUAAUGUAUUAUGUGCACUUCCUUUCAUGUUAAUUUACUUUCAGUGAGUCAACUUACUGCUGCCAUGAAUUGUUCAAUCCAUUUUUUCCCACUUUUUGUAUAUUGCAGGACCUAGCUUCGAAGAAGCUGAUUGGCUUGGGGAAGCAGCUUAAUGGCUUGUACUACUUUGUUCCUCAAGUGAAGUCUGCACCAACUUCACUUUCAAUCACCCAUCAUGCUGAUUUUACUACACAUAUUACUUGGCACAAGCGGUUAAGACAUCCCUUGAAAGCACCUUUACAAUUUUUAAGCAAUAUUAUUCCUUCUUUUGUAUUUGAUUCUCAACAUUCCUGUAAAACUUGCCCUUUGGCAAAGCAAACUCGUUUACCAUUUUCUUCAAGUUAUAUUCAAACUUUGCAUUCAUUUGAUCUUAUUCAUUGUGAUAUUUGGGGACCUUUUCGUACAACAACUUACACAGGGGCACAUUAUUUUCUCACUAUAGUUGAUGAUUACACUCAUUUCACUUGGAUUUUUUAAAAUGAAAUUUAAGUUCAAAACCCAAGGAUUAAUAAAAAUGUUUAUUUCUUUUGUGAACGCUCAGUUUAAUUGUCAAGUUAAAUGUCUUAGAAGUGAUAAUGGCUCAUAAUUUCUUUCCAUGAAACCUUAUUUAUCCAACCUGGGUAUUUUAUUUCAAAGCUUAUUUCCAUCUACACCUCAACAAAAUGGUGUAGUUGAACGAAAACACCAUCAUCUCUUAAAUGUUAGUCCAGCUUUGAGAAUUAAUGCCAAUCUUCUUUUAAAAUUUUGGGGGCAGAGCUUACUUAUUGCAACCUAUCUUAUAAAUCGUCUUCCCACUCCCUUGUUGAAAUACAAAUCUCCAUAUGAGUUGUUGUAUAAUAAGCCACCUAACUACACUCACUUACGAGUUUUUGGAUGUCUAUGUUAUGCAACAAAUCUACAACUGUUUAAUAAGUUUGAUUCUCGGGCUCGACAAUGCAUCUUUGUUGGUUAUCAUAUAGGCCAAAAAGCCUAUUGAUUACAUUUUCUCAACACUCACCAAUUCUUUUCCAGCCGUGAUGUCAUUUUUCAUGAGUCUAUUUUUCCUUUUCUAUGUAUCAAAAAAUCAUUAGAUAGCACUCUUCCUCCGCCUGAGAUAUUAGAUUAUGUCAAUGAUCCAUCUCCUCCUAAAUCUCAUCCUAUCCCUCCAGCAUCUGAGACCAUCAUUCCCUCUCUUAAUCCUUUAUUGUCAUCAACUUCUUCCCCUUCUUCCUCUAUAUCUUCUCAUGCCCCUUCUAUUCAUAAAAGUGAAUGUGUCAGGCAACCAUUUGUUCUCCUUCGUGAUUUUCAUUGUGGACAUAUUAGUACAACACCAUCAACUGCAACUUUAAGUCAGUCAUUUUCAACUAAAUCAGGUACUUAAUAUCCUUUAGGUAAAUACAUUUCCUAUGAUUCUUUGUCUUUUACUCAUUAACACUUUGUUAACACCAUUUCAAGUGUCCUAGAACCAACCUCUUAUGCUCAGGCUGUAUUGGAUCCGAAAUGAAAAGAGGCUAUGCAAUGUGAACUUGAUGCUCUCAAUUCACAAGAGAUGUGGUCCUUGGUCCCUUUACCUGUUGGUCAUCACCCCAUUGGCAACAAAUGGGUUUAUCGUGUCAAAUACAAUUCUAAUGGUACGAUUGAACGUUAUAAAGCCUAAUUAGUAGCUAAAUGAUUUUCUCAACAAGAAGGCAUGGAUUACAUUGAGACAUUUGCUCUUGUGGCUAAAUUGACAACUAUUCGUUGUUUACUUGCUGUGGCCACUACAAGACAUUGGCUAUUGUAUCAAAUGGAUGUGACCAAUGCUUUUCUGCAUGGAGAUUUAGAGGAAGAAGUAUAUAUGACUCCACCGCCGAGACUUUGUCGAUAGGGGGAGAAUCUUGUUUGUCGACUUCAUAAGUCCCUUUAUGGGCUUAAACAAGCUCCUCGCAAUUGGUUUAUGAAAUUUUCUCAUGCUGUUAAGAAAGCUGGUUUUAUUCAAUCACAUUCAGAUUACUCGUUGUUUGUGAAGACAAAAGCCAUAUUUAUAACUAUGGUUCUUAUUUAUGUAGAUGAUAUGGUGAUAACCAGAAAUGAUGCAGUUCCUAUACACAAUCUUAAACAAUUUCUUCACCAGCAAUUUUAUAUCAAAGCUCUUGGUCUUCUUAAAUAUUUUCUUGGGUUGGAAGUUGCUAGGUCCAAAACAGGUAUUGUUAUCUCCGAACGAAAAUAUACCUUAGAAAUCAUAGAUGAUAUUGGAUACUUGGGUGCUCAACUGGUAAAUUUCCUUAUGGAGAUGAAUUUGCAGCUCACAAAUCAUUAAGGUGAUUUGCUGCAUAAUCCAUCUCGCUACAGGAGAUUAGUUGGCCGACUAAUAUAUCUCACAAUUACAAGACUAGCCUCACUAAGAUGCUGCUCUUCGUAUUGUUAAAUAUUUGAAAGGUAGCCCUAGUUUAGGAUUAUUGUUCUCAAACAAUUCGUCUACUUUAAAGGCUUACUGUGAUGCUAAUUGGGCAAACUGUCCUAUAACAAGAAGAUCAACAACAGGUUAUUGUGUGUUCUUAGGGGAUUCGUUAAUUUCUUGGUAAGCAAAGAAGCAUAAAACAGUCUCAAGAUCAUCAUCAGAAGUUGAGUACAGUUCCAUGGUAGUAGCAACUUGUGGGCUCACUUGGCUUAGAUUUUUAUUCAAUGAUAUGCAAAUUUUCUAUAGGACCAGCAAGGCUAUUAUGUGAUAACCAAGCUGCUCUUCACAUAGCAGCAAAUCUGGUAUAUCACGAACGUACCAAACACAUAGACCUUGACUGUCAUGAGGUAAGGGAGAAAAUACAAGAUGGUCAGAUCAUCACCAAAUUUGUUCCAUCUCAUUCACAGUUGGCGGACAUUUUUACAAAAGCUCUUAGAGGAACAGUGUUUAAGAGGCUAACAACCAAGUUGAACAUGCUGGAUAUACAUGCUCCAACUUGAGGGGGAGUGUUACGAUUUCGUUGGCUUCAUUUGACUAAUUGAGAGAGAUUGUUUCCUUAUAUGUGGCUGAUUUGUAAUCCCUUUGAAUAUGGGAUCGUUAUUUGCUUUCCUUUGAUUUAGCUCAUAAUGUGUGAAUAUUUGCUCUUGUAAACUUGCUAAUAAAUUCUCUCUAAUUCUACUAUAAGAAACAUAGAAGAAUAAAAUCAGAGUUCUUUUCAAACUUCAUUUUUUUCAAAAACAAAAUACUUAGUUCUACAUGAUCAAGUCAUCAAGUGGCUGCACAGUCUUUACUUCAAUGUAACAAAAUAAUGAAAAAAACCUAAAGAAAUGAAGUUUCAUAUGGGAAGAACAAAUUUCAAUACGAUUAACAAAUCGCAACAUUUAUAUAGAGGGACAUCAAAUGCAAAGAAAAGUUGAGUCAAUCGAUUAUAGCAUUCUUGAGCAUUAUGAGUUAUGACUUAGAGAAUGAUGAGAUGAGAUAUUUUAUAGGCAUAAAAAGAAAUCAAUAAUUGUUAGAGCGAGUUUAAUAAAGGACUAGUUUGGUGUUUGAAAGAGUGUGCGAGUAAAACUUAUUUUAAAAAUUUUUUCAAUAAGUGUGCAGAGUAAGAAAGUAUUCAAAAUAAAUUUUAAAUAGCAAAUAGUCCAUCCUUAAAAAGCUAAAGUUAUAUAUGCAGUGCUUUACACGUUCAAUGCACAUUUUAGUGAGAUCAUUCAAUCUUCAAUGAAAUCAUACUUGUUAAAAACCGUCAUGAUUGGUUAAUUCAAAAUUGAAUAUAUUUAUGGAAAGAUUUUAUUACUUUUACAGUUACACAAAUGAUGUGAUAGAUAUGCUCCAUUUUGCACACCAUACAGCCAGUGGAAUAUGAGCCUCCCUUCUUCAGUGCCGCCUAUAAGGAUGCAAGCUUACAAUCGAUGGACGAAAUAUCCUUUAGAAAUAGGGAUAGGGAAUGUGAAAUUCAAGCAUUUUGAAGUAGUUGUUAAGGGGAUGUAAGCUAUUUUGUUAAGUUAAAUUAAAAUAUGAUGAUGAGUUAAUACUUAUAAGAAUGACUGAGGAACCAAAGCCUGAUAAAAGAUUAAUAAAAACACAUUCAAAAUUAUGUCAUUUUGAUUAUGUUUUUGUAGACUUUAGUUUAAAUGUCAGCACUCUAAUACCUAAUUAAUAUUUUUGUUCCAAAAAUUUAAUUCAUCUCUAUUUCUUUUUAAUUUUAUUUUAUGGUGAUCAUUUAUAGAUAUAAAAAUAGGUGUUAUAUUUGUGAAGAGAAAAAUGGCAAUUGAAAAAUGACAAUAUUGAUAUCAGUACAUCUACCAAAAAGAAAACAAGUAGCAGGGCAAUUAACUAGUUAAGCUCCUUGUAGUGAUGGAUAAAUUUAUAUGAGGUUGAGUACUGUACAAAUGAGGGUACAACAAUGCAAAACAGGAGUAGAAGAUUUCUUCAUUUGGUCCACUAGGCUUGCUUUUUUGACAAUCAUUUCAUUUUUGGGCUAAUUGUGAAAUCAUGCAUAUGGUGUUAAAUACUGUAUCUUGCUUGGUAGUGUUUUAUGAAACAAAUUUUGCUUAUGAUUGACUUAACAAAACAAUAUCCAGCGUGCUUGUAUUAACCCCGCUGUAUUUUCGGAAGGCUUGAAAGUAAUUUCACAAUACAGAGGCGCCGCUUUUUUUAUUUUGUUUAGUUGGUUAUCCCCAUUAAGGUAUUCAAUUCCCCUUUAUUAUCCUUUGAGGAUGAGCUUCCGUGAAUCUGUGAUUUAUGCUGACAGAAUUGUUGAAUGGAAAUUAGAUCCGCUAUCUAGUCCUCUAGUUAUGUAUCUAUCUUGAUUUUUUUCUCAAUAAGGUGGCUGAAGAUGAUGGUGACAUGUUGGAAGAGGAUUGAAGUUUGGACUUGUUUUCAUUUCCCAUUUUGUUAUUUGAUUUAAUAAGAUCAACUUUGCCGUGUUUAGUGUUACUUUGUUGUGUAUUAAAUUUUGAGUGUGAGACUUGAUCUGUUAUGUAGAUGUUUAAUCUUUUGCUUUUAAUAUUGUCAUGCAUUCAAUGGCUUUACAUUUGGUACCUGAAAUGUAAGUUUCCUCAUAUUAAUAUAUUGUCUUAUGUAUUUAAUUUUUUUGGGGUCAAGUUUUCGAUUUUCAUGCACCACGUUUUUAGCGCUUGUUUCCGUAAUUUAAAUUCCCUGUAACAUUCAUUGAAAAAAGAAAUGUAACUUGAAAUGAUGACUUAAAUUUUCAUCCGCUUCAUUUCAUUCAAUCUAAAGGUGUAUAUUUUAGUCAAAAAGCCGCAAUGAUCAUUUUCACAUCUCCAUUGUUCUCACUUCUUAAUUGCCCAAAGGUAAUUAUCUCACUUCUUCGUUGUUCGAUCUCUUAAUUUUGCAGUCGAUUUCUUUAUUUUUUUCAAAUUAAUUUAAGGUUAGAUUGAAGUUAGUUUUGGAUUAGUUUAUGAUUUCCAUCAGUUGAUAAUUUUAGGGUUCCAAUCAGAGAUCUCUUCACCUUGCUCAACAGACACAUCGAACAAUCCGACUUCGAACAGGCUAUUAAAAUCGAAUAUCAAGGUCCAUUUUUCAUAUUUCAAUACUCUUUAAUUUUAUUAUCAUAAUAUUGAACAUUUAGCUCUCUUCUUUAAAUCAUCAGUAAGUUACCUUAUGAUCCUGAUGCAACUUUAAUUAGCUACUCAAUUUGAGCAACUUUAAAUAACGAACCCGAGCCUAGGAUAUUCCAAUAUUAGCUGACUUCAAUUAGAUUAAUAAAGCCUAGCUCACUGAUUUAAAAUUAUUAUUUAGCUCAACUGAUGGUUAAAACACAUUAAUGGAAAAAAAUAUAAGGUCUCCUUUAUCUGAUUUCAAAUGCAUCAAUCUACUCUUUUUGAGUCUAUUACUGAUUUCAAUGGAUUCUUCAAGCUAUUUGUUGAAAUGCCUGACAGAAAAAAUGAAUGCUAUUUAAAUAUUGCUGGGGCUUAGUCAGUGGAUGGUAAACUAUCAGGUUCAUGGAGACUAUAAUUCUAGUGUAUAAUUACAACUUAGCAGCAUCAUUUUUGCAUUUUUGUAAUUUUCUUUUUUCAGAAAGAAUAUUGAUUCUUCCAUUUAGUUGAUCAAGAAUCAUGUGAAUUAAUUAUCAAUGCAUGCGUGUUUAUCAGCACAUGUUAUUAAUUAAUAGAAUGGCAUAAUGAAAGCAAAAAGGAUAAGAUAUAGCAUAAGUCUAAUUAAGAUGACUCAAAAAAUCAGAAGCAGCAGCACAUGCUUGAUUUUCAAAAGCUAAUUAAGAAUCAAAUCCAGUAGGGAAGAAUAAGAGAAUAACAACCAAAAGAAAAAAAUAUUGAAUCAGAGAGGCCUGGCUACAACUCCCUUUUUAGUUUGUAUUUUGCUAGUUACUGAAUUUAAUUUUACAGAGCAUGUGCCGCCACUGUUUAUUUGCUUUCAUGGUAACAUCUAUAUGUAAUAAGUCAAAACCUUUGAAAAACUUUCCGCGGCUAUACAAGGACUACGGACUUUGAAGCUUUGUCCAAUUUUUGUUUUCCUUAUUGAAUUUCUUAGUUGAUAUAUGGGGACUGCGGACUCUGCUAUCAAAUUGAAGAGUAAAGUAGCACAUGCUGCAACUGCAAGAGAAUUUAAUAACAAUGUUCAUUAUCUGAGAGUGCACAACGAGGUCGAAACUAAGGUAACUAACAUAUAACUACUUAAAUCUCGAACUAGUUUUCUUUUAUUUUCUGUUUGGAUUCUAUUUACUGCAUAUUAUUUGAGUCUACAUUCAAAGCCAUGCAUGCUGAGUAUUGGAUCAUUACGAAAAUAAUACUACUAUGUUUAAACUAUAUUUUCUCUUUUUUUUUUUGGUUAAUUUGUAUGCACAUAUAAUUUGACAGUUGAUGAGUUUUCAGUUGAGCUAGCUGAAGGGCUUGCUUUUGUUGCUGUUUCUGAUGAUGAAUCCAAACUCUUCAUAGUAGUUUUACUCUCUUUCAAGGUUUGUGAACAAUUUAUAAUUGGCGAUGGUUGAUACUUCAAGUAGCAAUUAUUUCAUGCUCAUUGUUUGGCAUUCUUCAUUGUAUUAUAGUUUUUGGUUAAGGAAGUGAAGGAAUUGAAAAGAAUAGUGAAGCUCGUUCUUGGAAACUCAAUUGCUAAUUUUCAUUUACUUUCAAGCCUUUUUUUUCAAUUUGUUUUUCACUUUCUAAUGUAUAGAAACUAACCAUAACAGGGUUUUGUAACUGAUAGACUAGAUUAUCGCAAGCACAUAGAUCUUUUAAUGGCAGUGUUGCAUUUUUCGACCUCUCUAAACUUGUAUACGGACUAAUGUCCAAAUUUAUAGGUUAGUAAAUACUUGCUAAAUUUAGAAUCCAACUCUUGCUGUUGACUCCAAAUAUUAGCAUACUUGCUUAUUGUUACAAAAUAUUGCUCUAAUGAUUAUUAUCCAUUGCUCCAGUAUCAUAUUUUGUUAGGCUUCUUAACCAUAUUUUGGUUAUAAUACUUAUGCUUAGCUUUAUACAAAGUGAUUGUUCGAAUAUAGCAUAUUAUUAUACUAGUUACUGAUUUGAUAAUUUACUGAUUAAUAUUUCUUCAUUCAUCUAGGAUAUUAUUUGGUCUACUAAUGAUGAUGUGGGGAUGGAGCAGAUUAAUAUUUCUUGAUUUAUAUAGGAUGGAUAUUAUUUGGUCGAAUGAAGAUGAUGAUGGGAAUUGAGAAGAUGAGGUAGAAGCGAACGCAAGUCUCAAGAGACUGAAGAAGACGUGUUGGAGGAUGAUUGAAAUAAUUCAAGCUAUGAGUAUGAGAUCAUACUGCAUAUACAUUUGGGAUUUUUUUUUUCAAAAUAUACUAUUGAAAUUGAUUGUGUUGUAUUGGCAUUACAAAUACUUAAAAAAAAUAAAAACAAAAAGCGUAAGAAAUAAUAAUAUUAAAUAAAUUAAAUGGGUCACUAAAUAAAAAAGAAGCACAUUUCCAAUGUGUUUCUUGCAUUUUCGAGGGCAAAUUACUGUUAGAAUAGUAAUCAUUUAUGUUAUCCAAUCUCAUUUCCAAGGGCAGUUGAUGCCAUUUUCAAGGGCAAAUGCAAUUGGAAAUAUGUAAUUUUUGGUUUUAUAGGGAUUAUUCCCGAGGGCAUUUGAUGUCAUUUCUUAUGGCAUUGUUGUUGAAAAUAAUUUUUUUCGCCGACGACCCAUCGAAAAUUGUGCUUUUUCGAUGCGACUUAAUACGAUGACAGUUGAUGGCAUGACUUCAUUGGAAAUGAGUUUUUCCGAGGGCAUUUGUAUAUUUUCGAGAGUAUUUGCCCUAGGAAAUAACCAUUAUUCUUGUAGUGAAUGUUAGAAGUUAAGGAGCCCUCCAAAUUACAGAAGAAACUCAAUAAUCUUGAUAAGACUAAUGUUGAAAAUAUGUUAUCACUUACUUUAAUAAUUGAAUUAUUCUUAUAUCAAAAAAUUACUAUAUAUGUAUAGAGACUCGAUAAAAGUACUGCUGAAAAUAUGUUAUCCCUUACUUUAAUAAAUUAAGAGAUCUUUUGUUAGAAAAUUUCUUUAAUUUAAUACAAAUUAACGGAUAAUUUACAAAAAAAAAAAACACAUAUUUUAAUAUACUAUAAGACAAAAUAUAUAAUAUCAGAGCGUGUGUUUUUCUUAUCUUCUAGCUUGACCCUAAAUCAUUUUUUAUAUAUAAAUAUAUAAUACACCAUUAGAGUGUGUGUUUUGCUUGCCUUUAGGUUAUCCCUUACUAGAUAAUGACUCGUAUACUUUAUUUUAACUUAAAUUUUUUAUAUAAAUUUUGAGUUAAUGAUUUAGUGCAUCUAAUUGUAGAUAUCAAAAGUCAAAUUAGCAUUUAAUGAUGCCAAUUCAUCCACUAUUCAAUUGCAUGAGAUUAAUGACUCAAAAUUUAUGUAAAAAACUUAAGUCAAAAUUUCAAGUUGAAAUAUUGCUCCUUAUAUUAUACAUAUAUAUAGCGAGUGCAUUCUCACUUUGUUAAAGUGACAAUGCCAAAAACAAAUUACAUAUAAUUUCAAUAUAUUAACAAAUAAAAAGAUAUAGUUUUCAAUGUAUUGACAUUUUGUUUUUGUAUUUUAGUGAAAUUCUUAUUUUAUAUAUGUGUAUGUGUGCGCGCACGCGUGUAUGUAUGUUUUUGUUGCCAAAAGAGUACAUGUCGAAUGAAAAUGUACAAUUAUAUUGAACAAACCACUAGACUAGAUCGAUUCUUUCUACUAACACUAAAUAAUUAUUUAAUAAUGUUUCAAUAUUUUUAUUAUGACAAUUCCUGGUCUGUAAUCAUGCCCUUAAUUAAGAAAUAUACAGUAUUAAAAAAAAACUUUAUUUUAACUAGUGGAAAAGAACAAUAUUAUUUGAAUUGGUCUGGAGAAUGGUAGGUGAAUGAUGCCAAAUUAAAUUUGCGCGAAUAAUCCAAAAACAUGUGAGACUUGCUCAAUUAUAGCAUUACGUGUCCUACACUAUAUAUAUAUAAUUAAAGCAAAUGAAAUCCGUGACAAUAUAUAUGUAAUCAAGUGGCCAGUCCAAGGCCAAUUUGUCAACUAUUCGAACCAAAAAAAUUGGAUUUUGACAAGACAUUACAUAUAAUACAAGAAGCUGCUGGCAUCUCCCAAACAAGCUCGAAAAAGUAGUCAGUAAGACUUGUACACAGGAAAAAAGCAUGGGAAAUAAUAAUGUGAUGGGAUUGGGAGGCGGUGUCUCGGCAUCGAUCAUAGCUAUGAUGAUACUCUUCUUCACCGCAAAUCAAUCUUGUGCUGCAGGCAACGGCACCAACAUUAAUAAUUUCCAUAUUGAUCCUGAUGUGUUGUUUUUUCAUGAUGAUCCGGAAUUAAAGUUAGCUGCUGCUGCAACAAACGUAUUGAAUCCCUCCAGUCUACCGUUCGGUUGCGGAAGAGGCGUAAACUAUCGCUCUUGUACCCCUAAUUCCCAGAAUUCCAAAAAGGGUGAACAUUGCACGCCUGCCCCUGGCAGCACGUAUCCCCCAGCCAAUCGAUUGUGCUAGCUAGCUUAUGAUACAUCUUUAAUCUCCAAUCUUCAUCUUGAUCUUCAACUAUGCCAUGACGUGGGUUAAUUCUGCAUGCAUGUUGUAUUUAAUUUAUAAGUAGCUAUAAUCUCUCUUUCCCUUCCUUUCUCAAUUUUCUCUCUCUAUAUUUAAUUAGUUAUUAAGCCUUAUGUUUGUACUGCUGCGUCAAUGCAUUUGUAUUAAUAAAUUAAUUAAGAUUUCUAAUUUAAUUCGUAUUGAUUAAUUUGUUGUUAAAUUAGCUAGGUUCCACCAUCUUCAUGAUAUCAUUCAUAUUCACUCGUUUCAAUUAUACCAUACCCUUCCACAGUUUGUUUCUUUUCCAUGUGCGUAGGUAUUAAAAGCCCGGAGAAGUAAUUAAGUAAUUAACUAUUAAUGGCAUUUCAUAUCGAGCUGGACCUACUCUUAAUUACCAGCCUCUUGAAGGGAAACCGGCCACAAUAUAAAUCAAACAACUGAACGUACACCUUCAUUAGAUUUCCUACUUAAACAUAUACAUUUAUGCUAGCCUUUGUACGUAACAUCAUUGAUUUAUCUGCUCCUUCCUACCCGCCUUAAUUGAUUGUUACGACAACAUCAUCCCAAAUAUUGUAAUUACAAUUAUAUAUGUUAGCCUUUUUUUUUUCCUUAAAUAAAUAAUUACACAGAGACACAGAUACAAUUAAUGUGGCGUAUGGGAGGAUAUUGGUUGAAACUUGGAAGUAAUAUCAGUUAAUCCAUACCACCAUGUUUUUAUCCAACCUCUAUCUUCAGUUCUUCACGAAUAUGAAAUCUAUUGCUUCCUUUCAUUCACUUUGUGUGAUAUAAUGUCUCGCAACCUUAGCCCAUUGUUUGAGAAGUUAUCUCAGUUAAAGUAGCAGUUGAGACUUGAACCGGGAACUUUGAAGUUCAUGCAAGUGUUGUUCAUGACUUCAUGUACCAAAUAUACAUCAAGCAAACUUUUGACCAACGGAGCUACAUCUAAGUAAGAGAGCACAUAGAGCACUAGGGAGCUUUUGAUGACUUGGCUCCAAUAACGCCAGUUAUUUAUACAUGGAGAAAUUAUACAUGUACAAGAUAUAAUGGGAAAUUUUCGGUCAUUUUGAUUUUUACCCCGGUGGUUUCUCCAUAAUUUACAAUUUAUUAUUAAAUUAACGGUAUAUAAGUUAUUUUACUUGAUUUAUAUUCUCAAAAUAUUUAUAUUUAUAAAAAAAAACUAAUGUCCUAGUUAAGCUUUUUAUUUAUUCUUUCUGCUUGACAAAUUUAUAAAGACGUCAUUUUUAAGAAGGAAACAAUUUCUCUUCAUCUUUUUACUGCUUGAUCGGAACUCGGGGAUUGAAAAAAAGGAGAGGAUUGAUGUUGACGGAAAGAAUUGGGUAUAGAAAUAAAAUUGUGCGCUUUUAUAAAGUUAUUAAAGUCAAACUUAAUGAAUUUAAUUGCUAAUAAUUAGGUUACAAUAUACAAUGAAAUCUUAAGCUUUCAAUUUUUUUUGCCCUAGAAAUUAACUUUAUAACUACAUUAUUGAAAGCUCAAGAAAAAUUAGAAGAGGGAAAACUAGAAGAGACUCCAAACCCUACUCUUAUUAAUUAAUUAUAAUAUCUUUUUUUAAUGAAAUCCAAAAUGUUCCUCUUUUUUCCCCUUUUUAAAUAUGCAAAACUUAAAAACAGGGCAUACUCUGUAUAUAUUUCUGUGAAAUCGUCGUUCAUUAAGCAAAUUUCUUCAUCUAAUUAAGGUAAUUUUAGGGUUUGUUACACACUGCAACCAAUAAAAAGAAAAAGAAUCAAAAGGACAUCUUUUAUUUGUAAACACACAUCAAAUCUCUUUUAUCAAUCAAUUUUUUUUUUUAUUAAUACAAGAGGCUACAUAGCAUAUUCCAUUUUCUCCCUCAGCUAAAAUACUGAUAUGUUAUCAAGUUAAUUUGUAAAUCUAAAUCCUGUUAGAAAUUGUUUUACUUAUUAACAACCGGAAAUUAAGAAAGUUAGAUCUCCAGGCUCCGCUGGAUUUUAUCAAUGCUGCAUUACUAAAAAUUCCUGCAAAGGACGCAUAAAUUGCUGCAAUGGAGAUCUUUGCAAAGGAUGUGAACAUUGCUGUGUUGGAUAUAAAAUGCAAGGGAUAUGAAUGUAAAUGGCGAUCGUUUUCAUUUCUGUUUAGCGUUUCUGCUUUUCCAAGGUUGGUAAAUGGAGAGUAAAGAAACAGCAGAUCACCGAACAGGAUUCACUAACGUUGGUUAAUUUAGGGGUUUCCUCGAGAUUACACCUUUUGUUGAGCUGAAUGUGUGAGGCAGUCCGACUUUUUCCUUCUGCAAUGUGAUUGCUGCUUCAUUCCAUUUGAGUUGUUCGGGUGGGACUAAUUGCUCAACUUCAAUGGAGGAAUAUCAGGCAUAUCGGCAAUUAAGCUGUAUUAAAUACUGAAGAUAGAACGUCUUGUACUCUUGUUGGGCAUACGACGAAUGAUGCUAAAAAGGCUGCCAAACUUAUAUUUUUCUACGAGAAUUAUGUUUCAUGUGGAACCAAUUUUUGUUUCGUGAUCUUGUUACAUUCUUACCUCUUUGUUCAUGGAUUGAUUGGUACAUGUGUAUUACUAUUAUCAUCUUUGUCCUCUUCUUUCUCUCCUCGUUGUCUUUUAUUACCUAGUAUCUCUCCUCUAGGAUGAGCAAUAAUGAAGUUCGUUGAUUUGUCAGUGUUUGAUUUAUGAUAAGCGGAUUUUAACCAAAGUUAGUUGGUGUUAGUGGUUCGGCACUCUCACUCCUUAAGAGAGGUCAGGGGUUCAAGCCCCGCUCUCGUAUGCAGUCACCACUUUGGCCAGCACUUUACCCCUUAUGGGCCGACCCGGUGCGAACGGGGAUUAGUCUGAGUUGUGGUACGGGCUUAAAGGUGCCUCCCACAAUUGGGGCCCACUCAGGACCACCUCGUGGUUCAGACCAAAAAAAAAAAAAGCGGAUUUCUCAUCCUACAAUUUUUUUGGGCCAAAUUUGGUAUUAAAUACUGUAUCUUCACUGGUAGUACUUCGAGAAAUAGCAUUUGCUCAUGAUUUGACUUAACAAAACAACAUCCAGUCCGCUUAUAUUAAUCCCUGCUGUGUUUUUUUUUUCACAAUAUCUGUUUCUAUUCUUUGUUGAGGACUUUUGUGAAUCUGUGAUACAAGCUGACAGAAUGGUUGCAUCCAAAUUUAAUAUGAGAAAACAGAUCCUCGAGCCUGUCCGCCUAACACGGAUAGAAUAUUAAUAAAAAGAAUGAUUUUCCUUUUUAAGCAUCUUUUUUCCAUAUGCAUGUAUUUUGGAGGAGGCACGUCCACGAGUUCACCAUACUCUAAUUUUUAAUUAAUUCUAUUUAUUUCUCAAAUUACUUUGGUUAAAAUUAAUUUAUCUCCAUUGUUUCUCAUUUCCUCUUCUCAAUCUAUUUGACCACUAAUGGUGUGUUUUUUUAGCAGCAAUCGGAAUGAAAAUUUGGAAAUUGGAAUCAAUGAUGCAUUUAUUUACAAAAAUUUAGGCUUGGAAUCAAAAUAAAAAAUAGUGUCGGGCCUAUAGAUUUUGGCAAUCAUUACCAUUGUUUUGAUUCCUAAGGGAGGGGCUGGGAAUUAGAAUCUGAUUUCUAGAAUUACUCAUUUUACUUCCAAUACAUUUUCAUAAUCUCUAAAUUGAUCCCAAUUAAAAUUUGACAUUUUUGCAUUUUAAUUCCUAUAGAAUUUAUGAAAUACCCAAAUUUUUUGUAUUAUUUGCAAAUAGGUCCUUCGUUGGUAGUAAUAAUAAUAAUAAUAACAACAACAAAAAUAAUAUUAGUAUUUUUAUCGUCAUUAUUAUUAUUUAUUAACAUCAUUAUUAUCAUUUAAAUUUAUUAAUUUAAUUAUUUUAAUUGUUAUAAUUUAUUAUUAUUAAUUAUAUUAUUUAUUUUUAAUAAUAUGAUUAAUGUCAUUAAUUUAUUAUUAUUAUAAUCAAAAUUUAUUUAUUUUAUUUUUUAAUUAUUAUUAUUGUCAUUAAUUUCCUUAUUAUUAUUAUCAUUAAAAAAAAUUUACAAUACAAAGAUUAUCCAAUCAAUAAAUAAUUACUAUUGAAGGCAUUUAAUAAUGUCACGCAUACACAUUGUAUAUCCCGAAUAUCUUCUUAAGUAUAAAUUACUAGUCAUCGGUAACGUAUAAAUAGAAAAACUAGAAUUAAAAGCUUUUAGAGUUGUAAGAAGCUAGAUUUCAUUAAAAAUUUCAAAAAUUAAGGGUCUUCACUAAAAUUUAACCUAUAUAUCUAUGUGACAUUUGCGUUUCGGCUCUUGGCUCCUUGGGUUUGAACAAAACAAAUUAAAAAUGAGUAUCUGCAAAUUGAAAAAAUAGUGCAUUCACCUUUUAAAUAGAUUUUAAGCAUAGUCGAUCUGUCUAAUAAUUAGUACCUACUCUAGCUUGUAUUAAUCAUGGCUUGGUUUCCACCCAAAAAAAUCCUACUCAAACAAUAAAACCAAUAAAUUACAAAAGAAAAAAAUAACCCGUAUUGUUUGUUGUUUGUUUUAUCGUGGCUUUGGUUCUCUGCAACGUUAUUUGAGUUCUUUGCAAGAAGUAGCUCACCACUAUGUGGAGCUUGUUUAAGAAAAAUAUUGAAGAAGAGACAGCAUAAUUAAGUUAACAGUAGAUAUAUGGCUAGACAAACUUAAUCGAUAUUAAAAUAUUGAUACACAACAAUUUUAUUUAUUUAUUUUCCUUCUAGGAAAACAUGGUACAUGUGAACAACUAGACAAAGAAAAUCUCUUGUAUAUAUCAAGAGAUCUUACAAGCUAAAUUAAUUAAAACAAACUAAGACACUCAUACAAUUGACGGAUAAUAACAGUACCCAUCAUUUUAUUUCCUUAAACAUAGCAUAAGAGAGUAACACGGCAUGUACUUAACCAGUGUGGUAAGGGUUUCUUCCAUAUUGCGGGACCACAAGAAAAUCAAUAUUUCCAUUAAUUUCAUCAUUAGCAAUAAGUGACCAUAAUGGCAUUUCUCUAGAGCCCUCCGACCAAUCGUUAUAACCUAAAAAAUUCAUGUUAUAAAACUUAAUCACAAGUACACAUAUUAAAAUAAGAAUUAUAAAUGAUAUUUAAUUGAAAAUGCAUGGCCUAUAUAUAUACCCGCGCAAAGGAGUUUUCAUAAUCUUCAAAUCAGAAAGGCAAAAGAUUUCUGUUGGCUUCGAGUGAACUGUAUUCACAACUCAAAAGGUAAGUAGUUGUGCUCGACUGAGUUCUUAUUUCUGGUUUGAUCUGAUAUAUAUAUAGAUCAACUGGUCGACACAACAGUGAGAACGUAGCAAAUAAACAAGUGAUGCACGGUAAAGA